UGAGGAAUAUUGGUCAAUGGGCGCGAGCCUGAACCAGCCAUCCCGCGUGCAGGAAGACGGCCCUAUGGGUUGUAAACUGCUUUUGUGCAGGAAGAAUGUGCCCAUCGUGAUGGGUAGUGACGGUACUGCAUGAAUAAGCACCGGCUAACUCCGUGCCAGCAGCCGCGGUAAUACGGAGGGUGCAAGCGUUAUCCGGAUUUAUUGGGUUUAAAGGGUGCGUAGGCGGUAAUAUAAGUCAGUGGUGAAAAGCUGCAGCUCAACUGGAGUCCUGCCAUUGAAACUGUUUUACUUGAGUAACCAGGAGGUAGGCGGAAUGUGUAGUGUAGCGGUGAAAUGCUUAGAUAUUACACAGAACACCGAUUGCGUAGGCAGCUUACUAGAGGUUUACUGACGCUGAUGCACGAAAGCGUGGGGAUCAAACA
rnacentral:rRNA from 1 species